rfam:Sorghum bicolor cultivar BTx623 chromosome 5, whole genome shotgun sequence.
AUCCCAUGAUGAAGACAAUCUUGAAUGUAUCCUUGCAAAUGCUCCCAUGCUCCUGAAAUGGUUUCUAUCUUCUGCUGUUGGAAAUUGGUGAUCUUUCCUCAUAAGGCA